rnacentral:rRNA from 1 species
UGGGGAAUUUUGCACAAUGGGGGAAACCCUGAUGCAGCGACGCCGCGUGAUUUAGAAGGCCUUCGGGUUGUAAAAAUCUUUUCUAUGUGAAGAAAAUGACAGUACCAUAGGAAUAAGGACCGGCUAAUUACGUGCCAGCAGCCGCGGUAAUACGUAAGGUCCGAGCGUUGUCCGGAAUCAUUGGGCGUAAAGGGUACGUAGGCGGGUAAGCAAGUUAGAAGUGAAAUCCUAUAGCUCAACUAUAGUAAGCUUUUAAAACUGCUCAGCUUGAGGUAUGGAAGGGAAAGUGGAAUUCCUAGUGUAGCGGUGAAAUGCGCAGAUAUUAGGAGGAAUACCGGUGGCGAAGGCGACUUUCUGGCCAUAACCUGACGCUGAGGUACGAAAGCGUGGGUAGCAAACAGG